GGAUCCACCAAAAUAAAUAUCUAAUGAUUGAGCGUCGGACUCAUAAUCCGAGGGUUGAAGGUUCGAGUCCUUCCGGAUCCACCA
rnacentral:tRNA from 1 species